GUGCAAACAAGAAUUGCCAGGACGCUGAAAAUGCAGUACGUCUUGAAACUGCAAUUUGAACCUUUCGAUGUUCUGACUUCAGGAAGUUCAUUGUCUGUUUUGUGAAAUUGGAUAAUACUCGGAAGUUUAAUACUGUUAGUACUGGGCGUUCCUGAACACGUUUGGAGGAGACUACUCCACGGGAAUAACUUUUAUGAUGUAAGAUAAAUCGGUUUUGCACAUUUAUUUAUGCGAACCGAUUUACGUUUCUGUUGUCACGAGAUAAACAAAAAUUGUCAGCACAGCCAACGUGCUAACAUCAUGAGGAUUAUUGACUGCUUAAUUCUUUUGCGAAAUAAAAGAAAAUAAAGUGAAAUGACUACGUCCCGGAAUUCAACACUGCUACUAAAAGAAUCACUGUACCACAGCAUCAGGAACAGCCGGACUUCCCACGGACGACUCCCCGAUGACUACUAUCCAAGGUUUAAACGUCUUCGACAAUUCAUCUUAUAUAGUCAGGCACAAGAGGAUAAAACGUACUCGUCGACAUUUUAUUUAACACCACGACUUUUUCUUGUCGAUCUACACCAGGAUGAGACUCACCAGGUACAAAAUACAAACUACAGAAUGUCAACGAGAGAUUCUCGUGGCAGUUGUCAGUUGGCAGAUGAGCCACGACGACAUGGAAGACGCAGAGGACAAGUCGGAUUGAGUUCCUGCAACAUAUGACGAAUAAAACGGUGUCCUACAUAUAGACUCGUCGAAAUUGACGCAAUUAGAGAACAAAAACUUGACGCUUUUAGGGAGCACUGUCGGCAUAGGGAGAGACACGCGAGUCGCGAAGAAGAAGAAGAAGAAAACUAGAGAGUCUGAAAGAAAGAAAGAAACGAUCCAGGAACGUCAUGUGAACCGGAUUCUAUAGCGGCAGCUGCCGACUUGACGUCCCGUAUCGUUGACGUCUCUUCUGCUUGGGUCUGUGGCUUUUAACGUAAACUCGUACGCAUAAAUGUGCGUUAUACGUUCUACAUACUUCUUCUCAUAUCGCGUAAGACAGCAAAAGGAAAACAAAAAAGAAGUAUCGAAGCAACAUCUAUUCUCUUUGUGUUAAUCUAUCACUUUGUCCAUAAUGGAAGAUGCUAGUAACGUUCACAAGAAGAUGGACGAGUAGUCUGAUUAUUUAAUAGUAUCCUCAUGGAUGUAUGGGACAAAUUAAAAAUGUCAUUUCGCAUUAGGACGGCUUUUCAAAGUAGAAAAAAGGACGGACUACCCUUGCUUAACGUAGAUACUUGCGACAUAAGCGACAACCGUGAAGAAAUUCAAACUUUCCUUCUGUCCAAAGACUGUUUUACUUUUCCUCCAAUACUCAUGGCGGUAAAUUCAAACUGCGUUAGCCUAACCUUAAACGAAAAAAAGGAUGGAACCCUUAUAGUCUCUUGUGACGUGACCCAGGAUAUGGAGGUCUCGAGAAAGUUGAAAGAGGACAUUUUCGAAAAAGCAGGGCGUCUCUCCAUCAAUCACAGCAGCUGUCCGGCGGACGGCGUAGAAUAUUGCUUGGUAUAGAUGUUCCUCGCCUUUGGUAAGAGAGGCCAUAUAAAAGGAGGAGUCCAUAUUUCCAUUAACGCAGCACCGGGAAUAAACGGCCUCCUUCAUCGAGCAUUCCUUAAUUUCCGUUCACCAAAAUUCAUCCAUAGAUAAGUAUACUUCUAUAUAUCUAUACGAUCCACUACCAUCCACGAAUGAGGAAAUCAUUUAUUUAACUCAAUGAAAGCACGUCAUGUCUUUCAUAAUAUAUUUCUCAAAGUCUCUCGGUUUACGACUAAGAGAUAUCAAUGAGAUUGCAAAGAUGCCAAAUAACAAUAAUAAUUUAUUGUUAUUGCUCUUCCACACCAUGUAUUUCUUUUCCACUAGUCUUAUUCUUCUUUAUCUAUCGAAUAUCUUUUUAUUUUUCUUCUCCGUCGCAUCAAGAAAUCCAGCACGACCCCGUAUCUCCAUUAACACUUGGUUCUUUCGAGAAACUCUCUUCCGCCCAUUGACAAACUUUCGACUGGGCAUAAAUUUAUUCGCGCGACUGCCGUCGCCCGUCGCGCUGCUACUAGUAGUCGUAUCUUUAUGGUCGCUCGUUUCUAUUUUAUCGCUCAGCUUCUCACUGGCUAGUGAAACAUUCUCAAAGGUGCUACUCGACCAGCCGACAUAAGACGGCACUCCAUUCAGGAUUCUAUCCCAAGGGAGGUUGAAAAACACGUGAUGACAUCCGCUGCCACUACUAUAAGCUCCUGAGAGUAUCCAUCUUCUUUCUCCAGUUAGGUAUACAAGGGCAUGUAUAUACCUAUAUAAUAUUGUAUAUAUAAUGUUUAAUCGACACAUAUUACAUUUUUUAAAUAUUUUUUGGAGUUUUACCUCUUCUGUGGAUCUUUUCAGAACUGGGACCGUAUGACUCAUUUGGUGUCUUGAGUCUAGAGCGCCCGGUAGUAAGGAAAAUAAAUAGCAACGACGUCUUGAUGCAGUUGCCGCUUUCAUGGAAAUAAUACAUAGGUAAACAUAGCUCCUUGAGAAAUUUACGUUAUAGCCGUGGGAACCAUUAAGGAGCACUUAGCGGUUUUCAACUAGAAUUAAGAAUGAGUAAAGAAUCGUAGAAUGGAUGCACCUGUGCGAUAACAUACACACGGUUGGAACAUAAAAGAUAUUUUAAUUCGCAAUAUUGUAAAUUGAAUUUAGGUUCCGGGGCGUCGUUAAAGUCAAUUGAAAAAAAAGAAAGAAACCAAAGGAGAAAAUAUAGCAGAGAGAAAAAGAGGAGAAACGACAGUGAGACUUGAUUUAUGGUGAGUGUCGAAGAUAUUCUUAAAAAUUUCCUCUGCUUCGCCGAACCUGAAAGAGAAACCGGAAGUACGGUGUGAAUCUGUCGGUGAGACGUCUCGUCGGUUAGGCGUCGUCGGUGACAUCGAGGACGAUCGCACUUGGUUAAAAACGACAGUCGCCCUUAACCUAUCCCACUUGACUAGGUGAAUAUAGGUGGCGUAUACAUAUAUCUAUACACAUAGCGAAAAGGGUCUCCAUCUCCUGCUAUGGGAGGACAAAGUAAAAAGGGUUGUUCCAAGGGAUUUAUGAUUGGUUCUUUAAAAGGGCCCCCCGAAAUUGGAGUGGAGUCUUUUUUUAGAAAAGAAAACAACUCCCUUAGCACGAUAACGUAACAUCAUUUUUUUCUUAGUACAAAGUGUCCAGGAACGGACUAUAGGAAUUCUAACCUAUGUAUAAAAUGAAUAUUCUGAUACCAGACUAUAUCCCAUAGAAUAUUAUAUGCUUUGCUGGGUUCAUCUUUUUUUCUUUUUGAAUUUUAGUACGCUAUACGUACCGUAACAAAGGAUGGGGCGGGACGAGAGUUAUGGUCACUAGUUAUUUCUUCACGAUACCAUGACAUUCCAUCCGCAUCUAAUUCCUGACAAAGUUACAGUAAGUUCGUCCCGCCCCCGUAGCGCCCUCGACCGUGUAGACGGAAUUGAACGUAAGAUGAACUCGUGGUGGGAGACACGCUUGAUUAUUCGGUGUUUUUUGUCGGGCUGGCGCCAGCGGGGCGGACCCGUCUGUAACCGAAUAGCUAAAAUCAUCCUGCGUGCCAAUUUCAAAGUCUUACGUUGGUCCGGCGAAGAGGAAGCACAAAAAAGUAAGAGUUUUUAAUGUAUGAGACAUACCAAGAUACCGUUGACCAUUUAGAUCCUCUUAGAAAUUCAUAGCCCUGGGGUACCUCUUGUAAAAGGUCAGGGUCAUCGAGUGGAGAGUCUGUAGAAUUUUUAUAUAAAUUACAAUGUAAUUGUACAAUAGUAGUACAGUAUACCUUAUAUAUAUAUAUAUAUAUAUAUCAUUUUAUUAAUUUUUUAUAAUGCCGUAGAAAAGUGUAAAAAUUAAAUGUUAUAAUCAAAAAAGAAAAGUUAUUUAAUAAAAUGGUUCUGAUCCCAGCUAUAGGAAAGUGGGCCGAAUCCAAGGAGUGGCUGGUAUAAGUAACGCUUGUAUGAAUCCUAUGAAAGCCUAAAUGACACAGGGUAACAGCUGUCGGCCCGACAGAAAUGCCACAGCCGGUCAAAACGCACGACGUAUGACAUAUGUACAUAUGUAGAGUAUGUGUGGGUCUAUGCUGCGAGUAACUUGAGCGGGAUCGAAGAUCCAGCUGGUUUAUGGGAUGACAACAGGUGCAGCCUGGUAUCCUGCAUUUUUAUGGGCGUUUCUCACCUGGCUCCUACCUGCUUACUUUCCACCAAUAGCAUCCUUGGAAUUUAACCAUUAGUUCCUGGAAGCAUUCCUUGGCCGUCGAUUGGUCCACAGGUAUAAUAGUAAUGGUGAUUGGGGAUCUUCCGUAAGCAAUGGCGUACAAUUCUAUUAGACUUUCAGGACUCAACGAGACGGUGCUAAAAGGGUGGAUGGAGAUUGAUUUAAUGUAUUCUUUACUCUAGGUUAUAAUAGUCAAACCAGAAACUCUGAGAAAACAGUCAUGAAUACGUCAGCGUUCUUUCGUCGGCACUAUCCUGGAUCCACGGGGUGCUUCCAAACAUCGGGCACGCUUCCUUCCAGGAGGAGACGAAAGCGUCGCGUGUCCCAUUUUCCAGGAAGCAGGAUCAUCCUAUAUUCCUCCAGUUCAUAUGUGGCAUGGGAUGUGGAAUGUGGCUACUGGUUACAUGGCAGCUAUACGGCAUUCAUCUGUAAAUUUGGGGGUAUCGAGAUCGUGGAUGCUGUACGGUUUGAGGAUUUAAUGAACCACGAUGGCAGGAGUGUAACAGGGACCGGCAACUGUCGCAGAAAAAAGGGCCUCACGGAUUGUCCAUAAGGCCCCUCGCAUUCUCAGCGGGGGU